GGGGCCGACUGGUUUCGACAACAUGAAGUGGUUGUUUAGUAAGCGUGUCGAGCGUUGGAAGUAUUGCUCGUAAAUAUCAAUUUCCAAGCCUAUAAAUGGCGAAAACAAUUACGCUCUCGCAGCCUAAUUAGUCACAGACUAAAACAAGGCUUAAUUCUGGGUGAAGCACAGUAACCCGGAGCGAGUGCCCGGCAGCUUAUCUGUUCUUUAUAGGUUGCCAUACGGGUAUCAAACUUUAGAACUCAGGAGGUUAAGUGUCUUGAUUAACAUCCGAAAUUGAAUUAAGACUAAGCUUUAGGUAGGCUGUUCGAUGUCAGCUUAAAGUCGAAAAACAAUAUUGAACUACACACGUAGAAGGCUGGAUAGUCCCAUGCUUGCACGAGGGUUCGAAUCCCUCCGGCUCCACUU
rnacentral:tmRNA from 1 species